GUGAGGAAUAUUGGUCAAUGGACGAGAGUCUGAACCAGCCAAGUCGCGUGAAGGAAGACGGUUCUAUGAAUUGUAAACUUCUUUUGUGCAGGAAUAAAGUGGGUUACGUGUAACCUUUUGUAUGUACUGUACGAAUAAGGAUCGACUAACUCCGUGCCAGCAGCCGCGGUAAUACGGAGGAUCCGAGCGUUAUCCGGAUUUAUUGGGUUUAAAGGGUGCGUAGGUGGAUUGAUAAGUCAGCGGUGAAAGUUUGCAGCUUAACUGUAAAAUUGCCGUUGAAACUGUCGGUCUUGAGUGCAAAUGAGGUAGGCGGAAUGUGUUGUGUAGCGGUGAAAUGCUUAGAUAUAACACAGAACUCCGAUUGCGAAGGCAGCUUACUGGGAUGCAACUGACACUGAUGCACGAAAGCGUGGGUAUCAAACAGGAUUAGAAACCCGGGUAGUCC
rnacentral:rRNA from 1 species